rnacentral:sRNA from 1 species
UGUUUUGCUUCUUUUUUUUUUUUCUCUUUUUUCUU